GCAUGACAUGAUUUAUGAUUGGACCCACGCCAUGGUCCUGUCAUAGUGUACGGCAUGCUAGAGUAAACUACUCCGAACCAUUGACGGGCAUUUGACCGUAUGCCUGAAUCACUGAAGGGGGUAGAACAGCU
ensembl:snoRNA small nucleolar RNA SNORA42/SNORA80 family